GGCAGGCAACCCAGCAUGCAUCAGCUAGACGCGAGCGGGCGGCGCAACUAGCGGUGCAGCUGGCGUCGACGCAGGGACGGGGUCGUCGUGUGCGAGUACCCGUGCACAUGGACGAGGGUACUUUCUCAUCUGGAUCCAGGAGUCGUCUGGCUCGGUUCUCUUCUUCCCGCUAGCAGGAGGUGUGAGAGGAGGAGGUGGAGGAAAAAGUUACAUACUAAAGGCGGAGUAGGUACCGGAUGUUGACACUCCACACGGGGAGGAGGAGGAGCAGGAGAAGGGCUACCUGGGAGGGCCCAGUGACACGACCUUGUUGAUUACCUACCAUGAGCACGUCGCUCGACGUAUCUAGGGGGAGAGGAGAGACAGACUUUGAAACAAAUGAACGACGCCCGGAAGAUUUUCAGUCUCUUUAAACCAGAGGCGCAGUGGUUUAACGACGCGGUGACAACUUCAGGGCUAGGUGGGUUGUGCAUGACGGGGAAUACCACCAUCAGCCACGGCAUGCAGGGGGCCUUUGUGGAGAGGUGGCACAAGGAGACUUCUUCUUUCCACUUACCGGUUGGGGAGAUGACGAUCACCUUGCACGAUGUACAGUGUCUUCUCCACUUGCCGAUUAGGGGGAUGCUACUGGAUCAUUCCCGGAUCCAGAGGAUCGAAGCUAGUGAGUGGAUGGCGCUCUAUCUGGGUAUGGAGCCAUAUAUGGCUGACUGUGAGUGUCAGACGACAAAUGGGCCUCAUAUCCGGUUCACCACACUGAGCACUUAUUUCGAGAACCACCUGGUGGCGGCGGCCGAAUUCGAGGAGGCGGAUAACGCCCUAUUUGUGGAGUAUCACUGUGCCUGCUCUCUCCGGUGUUGGUUCAUGUUUGUGGUAGGCGUUGCACUCUUUGUGGACAAGAGUGCAAGAUAUGUCGACGUGACCUACCUCCGCUACUUCGUGGACUUGACUACCAUUCACCAGUGGAAUUGGGGGUCAGCUAUUCUGUUAUAGCUAUACCAGAAGCUGAAUGAGGCCUCCAACUAGAGGACCAGGCAGUUGACCGGAUCCUGCACACUACUGACGAGCUGGAUCAUCUACUACUUCCCUCGCAUCCACGGCUUCCGCGUUAAUCCUGAGUACGAGCACGCCAUGCCCAGGGCCGCCCGAUAUGUUCUCCAGAGGGGGAACAGUGCAGUGGGACCAUACCGUGGGUACCUCAACCGCACGAUGCACGAUGACAUCAGUUGGAGGCCAUUCAGCGACUACACUGAUGUUGUCGCCUUUGACAACAUCUCGUUAUAUUCUGGAUGGUUGGCAUGCGGGACCAACACCAUGAUGCGCUAUCUCCCUGAGCGGUGCAUGUGGCAGUUUGGAUUUGUGCAGAUGAUACCCAGGUCACCUUUUGAGACUGCUCCCGACACAGUGACCCGAGUGCAGCUCACUGGCAUAUUUGAGGAUUGGGAGCGUCAUGUGGUCCUAGAGGAGUAUCGUCGCAUGCAAGUCACCCAGGACUGCCACAAUGUGGAGGAGUAUGUCACAUGGUUCUAUCGGGUUUCACAUCCUCUGAUGACAUUCGAUGCUCCCGGCGCUCCUAACCCAGCAGACGAGGAGAUCCUAGAGAACCAGCAGGCUGAGGAUGAUCAUGACAUUGAUCUCCUGCCGAUCUACCAGUGGAUAGAGAUGCUUGGGCGGGACGCGUUGGAUCGAUGUAUCAUUGAUCAGGGCGGUCCAGAGGCAGUCGCCGUGGUAGAGAGGAUCUUCGGUGAUGCGGGCCGUGCGGCGGCAUACAGGCGGUAGAGAAGGUCCCAUGGAGAGAGGGUUAGGCAUACCCAGUAGGGGUU